CGCAAUCUAGCCAUGUCAUGCCUAAUCACCUCUCCCCAAUACCUCUUAGGCCUCCCUCUGCCACGUCGUACGCCGACCAUCGCCAGCCGCUCACAACUCCUCACCGUGGCAUCAGGACUUCUCCUCCGCACAUGUACGAACAACCUCAGCCUCGCUUUUCGCAUCUUCUCAUCCAGCGGGGCCACCCCCACCUUCUCUCGAAUAACUUCAUUGUUAAUCUUAUCUAACCUGGUGAGCCC
rnacentral:lncRNA from 1 species